UAGAGAAGUUGCUUAGUGAGAAAGAAUCUGUUUUCCACAGAAGAGGAAGAAAAGUAACUACAGUGCCAAAUCCUGAGGGAACUUAUUAGAUCCUUGAAGAGCUUCAGCGACGGCCGAAAGCCAUGUUUGCCGGCAGAGCGAUUCAUCUUAGCUGGAUACGAAGCCCAGGCAAGACAGAGGAACACCCUGAAGACUGGACUCCGGCGUUCUCCGAUAAUGGCAGAAAUGCAUCUGAGCAGCAAAUCCUUAUUCGCCUGCCCAUAAUUUUGCUGCUUUAAGACUUUUUUUCCCCAUUAAAACUCACUACCGCCGUCCUGGGCAAAUGGCACGACUCGCCUUGAUCCUUCUUUUCUUCCAAGACUUUGAAAACAUGGGCUGCCAAAUAAAGGAAAAGAUGGAUUUUCUUGUUUGUCUAUUUUGAAUGAGCCCAGGGGAAGACCAUAUGAAAAAAGAAAAAACUUCUGGGUUUUAGGGCGAGCCUCUCCAGCUUCUGCCAGGAGAUUGCUGGUCCUAGCGAUGCCUCAAAAGUUAAAGGGUGAUGGGUGGUUAAGGAAGAAAGGAAAGAUGGAAAGAAGGAUGGAAGGAGAAAGAAAGAAAAAGAAAGAAAGAGAAAGAAAAAAAGAAAGAG